UGGCUCUGGCAACGAUGAAGAACGCAGCGAAACGCGAAAGGUAAUGCGAAUUGCAGAAUCAGUGAGUCAUCGAAUCUUUGAACGCACAUUGCGCCUCUCGGUAUUCCGGGAGGCACGCCUGUUCGAGCGCCAUUACACACUCCAAGCGAAGCUUGAUGUUGGGCGAAGCGGUACCCACCGCCCGCCUGGAACGCGUGGGCGCCCGCCGCCGGACCGCGAACGUAGCAAGACAAUCGUCAAGUCGUUCUGCGGGCUCCGACGGGGGGCAGCCUCUACGAAAACAAUUUUAUAUCCAGUUUGGCCUCGGAUCAGGCGGGGAUACCCGCUGA
rnacentral:misc_RNA from 1 species